GCAGCUCAGUGGUAGAACAUCUGCUUGGGAGCAGAAGGUCUGAGGUUCAAUCCCUGGAAUCUACA